rnacentral:rRNA from 1 species
GCGGAUCAGCCCGCGCCCCGUAAAACGGGACGGCCCGCCAGAGGACCCAAACUCUAAUGUUUCUUAUUGUAACUUCUGAGUAAAACAAACAAAUAAAUCAAAACUUUCAACAACGGAUCUCUUGGUUCUGGCAUCGAUGAAGAACGCAGCAAAAUGCGAUAAGUAAUGUGAAUUGCAGAAUUCAGUGAAUCAUCGAAUCUUUGAACGCACAUUGCGCCCGCUGGUAUUCCGGCGGGCAUGCCUGUUCGAGCGUCAUUUCAACCCUCAAGCCCUCGGGUUUGGUGUUGGGGAUCGGCUCUGCCCUUCUGGGCGGUGCCGCCCCCGAAAUACAUUGGCGGUCUCGCUGCAGCCUCCAUUGCGUAGUAGCUAACACCUCGCAACUGGAACGCGGCGCGGCCAUGCCGUAAAACCCCAACUUCUGAAUGUUGACCUCGGAUCAGGUAGGAAUACCCGCUGAACUUAAGCAUAU